GUCUAAACAGGCUGUCGAGGUUCUCCAUAUCAGGCGUGAUGUGGAGCUAAGACGGGAAGCCGGUGACGCUUGAAAGGGCGGAGUCCGGCGCUGCCCCCGCAACUGUGAGCGGCGAGCGGUAGUCCACCAUGUGCCACUGGCGCCCGCGCGGCGCCGGGAAGGCCCGGACUAACGUGUUGACCCGUAAAGCCAGGAGACCUGCCUCGUCGUGAUAGGAUUC
rnacentral:ncRNA from 2 species